rnacentral:rRNA from 1 species
GACGUAGGGCGCAAGCGUUGUCCGGAAUUAUUGGGCGUAAAGAGCUCGUAGGUGGCGUGUCGCGUCUGCCGUGAAAGCCCAUGGCUUAACUGUGGGUCUGCGGUGGAUACGGGCAGGCUGGAGGCUGGUAGGGGCAAGCGGAAUUCCUGGUGUAGCGGUGAAAUGCGCAGAUAUCAGGAGGAACACCGGUGGCGAAGGCGGCUUGCUGGGCCAGUUCUGACGCUGAGGAGCGAAAGCGUGGGGAGCGAACAGG